AGAGUUUGAUCCUGGCUCAGAACGAACGCUGGCGGCAGGCUUAACACAUGCAAGUUGAACGGGAUUUGUAUGGUGCUUGCACCAUGUAAUGAGAGUAGCGCACUGGUGAGUAACACGUGGGAACAUACCUUGAAGUGGGGGACAACAGUUGGAAACGACUGCUAAUACCGCAUAAUCCCUGAGGGGGAAAGAUUUAUCGCUUUAAGAUUGGCCCGCGGAAGAUUAGGUAGUUGGUGGGGUAAAGGCCUACCAAGCCGACGAUCUAUAGCUGGUCUGAGAGGACGAACAGCCACAUUGGAACUGAGACACGGUCCAGACUCCUACGGGAGGCAGCAGUGAGGAAUAUUGGGCAAUGGAGGAAACUCUGACCCAGCCAUGCCGCGUGAGUGAAGAAGGUUUUCGAAUUGUAAAGCUCUUUCGGAUGGGACGAUGAUGACGGUACCAUCUAAAGAAGCCCCGGCAAACUUCGUGCCAGCAGCCGCGGUAAUACGAAGGGGGCAAGCGUUGUUCGGAAUUACUGGGCGUAAAGGGUGUGUAGGCGGAUUUGUAAGAUAGUGGUGAAAUACCUGAGCUCAACUUAGGAAUUGCCAUUAUAACUAUAGAUCUGGAGUGACAGAGAGGAUAUUGGAAUACCCAGUGUAGAGGUGAAAUUCGUAGAUAUUGGGUAGAACACCAGUGGCGAAGGCGAGUAUCUGGCUGUCAACUGACGCUGAGGCACGAAAGCAUGGGGAUCAAACAGGAUUAGAUACCCUGGUAGUCCAUGCUGUAAACGAUGAAUGCUAGUUGUCGGCAAAAGCCGGUGACGCAGUUAACGCGAUAAGCAUUCCGCCUGGGGAGUACGGUCGCAAGAUUAAAACUCAAAGGAAUUGACGGGGACCCGCACAAGCGGUGGAGCAUGUGGUUUAAUU
rnacentral:rRNA from 1 species